CGUGUGCAGACACACAUCGAAGGUGCCCACGAAUAAUCUAUAUUUCCUUGUUUUGCAGCUUUUGCAAAAAUAAAUAUGUUGCACGGGAGAUGAGUUGGCCCAUCAUUCUCUGCAGUGUUACAUUAGCAACACUGCAGGAGCUGAUGCCGCUACUCCAAUGGACACAUCAAAACCAGGCAAAGCAAAUACUAACACACAGGGCACCAGAAGACCGAUAAACACCACGCCGACAAAACUGCCACCCGCUAAGAAAAUGGCAACCGAAACCAGACCCGAGUUUUCCUUGGCUGACGUCCUGGCAGCUAUUCGCAACCUGGCAGACAAAGUAGAUGGCUUUGGAAAACAACUUAAAGAGAACUCUGAGUUGCUUAACAGCAUUGUGCAACGUGUAGACCAAAACUGUCUGUGGAAAUCACAGAAAGCAAAUCCAAAAUAGACAUUUUGGAGAAAGAGCACUCCGACCUGAAAAAAGAGAAAGCAACACUGUGUCAAAAGGUGCUUGAGAUGGAACGUUAUAAACGCCGUUGGAACCUGCGACUCUCAGGGCUCAAAGAACAAGAGGGAGAAAACAUCAGAGGGAAAACUGAAGAGCUCCUGCUGAAUAUUUUUCCACAGUAGGCGGACAACAUCAGCAACGUGAUCGACUCGGCGCACCGUGUAGGCAAGAAAGAAAACGGACGGAGUCGGCAGGUCGUCAUGCAGUUUGUGAGGAGACUUCACCGGGAUGCGGUCUGGAAGACUCUCAGAUCUGCCAGGAGCGAGGGGUCUAUUUCGCCCAAGACUUCACCAGGGAGGACAAACUGGCUAGAGAACAACGAUGGCCACAAAUAAAGCACGCUGGAGCCUAGGGUAUUUCUGGUGGUGCCCGUUACACAGAAACAAGCCAUCCAACAUUCAACAGCCAUGAUGGAACACCCGCACUGAGUCACAAGAGGAUCCCCAGGCGUUCUCAAGCCAGUUUGGAAACAUAGUCUCUCCAAUGUGUCCUGGGUCUUCCUCGAGGCCUCCUGCCGGUUGGACGCUACCUGAACGCCUCCCCAGGGAGGUAUCCUAACCAGAUGCCCAAACCACCUCAUCUGUCUUCUGUCAAUGCAGAGGAGCCCAGCCACCCUAUGGAGGAAACUAAUUUCGGCCACUUGCACCCACGAUCUUGUCCUUUUGGCUACUACCCAAAGGCCAUGACCAUAGGUGAGGGUAGGAACACAGAUCAACCGGAAAAUUGAGCGCUUUCCCUUUUGGCUGAGCACCCUCCAUUGGGCUCACCACUCUCUGGAGGGGUCAAAGGGGUCGUUGCAGUAUGGGAUGUGUGGCAGCCGAAAGCAGGGACACUACACGUAUUGACCAUAUAUUGCAAGAGGAUCUUCUCAGCUUUCAGAUGAUUUCCGACACUCAUUUGAGUUUGCUAAAUGAAUGUGCCUUACAGGACAACACCAUAGUGUUGCAUAAACUUAGUAUCAUGAGAUUGGGUGUUGGGUGUGCGAUCCAAGAGGGCUGAAUUAACAAGCAAUGCUAUCAAUGUAUCAAAAGGUAAAAUUCAACAAUUUCUUACCCGCAAUAAAUAUUGUACGAUAACCGAUUUUGGCGACCAUUUUCACCAAAAACCAAAUCAUAAGAAAACCGUGGCGUCAAAAAACCAAGGUCUGACUGUAUUAUGUUGUUUGUAGUUGUGUCAGUUGAACCACGCUGGACAUUUUGGCCGACUAUUUUAAUAUAAACUGAAAAAAACAGACAAAACAGUAGCUUGUCCACAUGCGUGAGUUGUUCUUCAAGUUUUCCACCUAAGAAGUACUUGUAAUUAUGCAAAGAGUGGGGGGCAUGAGUGCAGGCAGCCUCUAGUAAGGAAGAUGCUUUGUACACUAAUUUACUUGGACGUUCCCUUCCCAUUUAGUCAGAAGUCCGCUGAGUAUUUACAAAGCAUAAAUGUCAUCUGACAGUAUAAAUAUGUAUGACUCGCUGUGUCUUUGAUAAAUGAUGAUAGGACACGCAACACCACUGCACAGCCACUUGUACCUUUUUUUUUAAGCCAAUUAAGUUUCACCUAAAAUGACUCAAGAUCCUUUGAUGUAAUGUGAAGAAAGCGCAUU